rnacentral:lncRNA from 1 species
GAAGCGCGCAUGUCCUGCCCAAUUUCAGGUGGGGCAUAGUGGGCGGGUUCGGCCCACUCAUGCAGCCACAGAGCUUUCCUGGAGUUUCCUGCCCUCUGCCAAGUCCAAGUCACCUUUGCCCGCAUGCCAGAGGGGAGGGCAGGGCAGGGGCUGAGGGCCACGUGGGCUGCUGGCUGCUGGCUGCUGGCUGCUGAGCUAGAGUCAGCCAGCCAGAGAGAGGACGGAGCUGGCAGCCUCAGGGGCACACGUGUGCAGGCAUGUGACCAUCCACAGAGAAAUGCAUAAUGCCCUUACGUACGUGUGCCUGUGCACACCUGUGAGUGCCCUUCCAUGCACACCACACCCUCCUACAUGGCCGCUAUUCAUGCACACCCAGUACGCGUGUACACGUACACACAUUCAUCCGCACACACGUCUGCUCGCACCCAU